UACGUAGGGUGCAAGCGUUAAUCGGAAUUACUGGGCGUAAAGCGUGCGCAGGCGGUUAUGUAAGACCGGUGUGAAAUCCCAGGGCUUAACCUUGGAACUGCAUUUGUGACUGCAUAGCUAGAGUACGGUAGAGGGGGAUGGAAUUCCGCGUGUAGCAGUGAAAUGCGUAGAUAUGCGGAGGAACACCGAUGGCGAAGGCAAUCCCCUGGACCUGUACUGACGCUCAUGCACGAAAGCGUGGGGAGCAAACAGG
rnacentral:rRNA from 1 species